rnacentral:rRNA from 1 species
CCCUUAGAGUUUGAUCCUGGCUCAGAUUGAACGCUGGCGGCAGGCCUAACACAUGCAAGUCGAGCGGUAACAGAUUGAUAGCUUGCUAUCAAUGCUGACGAGCGGCGGACGGGUGAGUAAUGCCUGGGAAUAUGCCCUGAUGUGGGGGAUAACUAUUGGAAACGAUAGCUAAUACCGCAUAACCUCUUCGGAGCAAAGAGGGGGACCUUCGGGCCUCUCGCGUCAGGAUUAGCCCAGGUGGGAUUAGCUUGUUGGUGGGGUAAUGGCUCACCAAGGCAACGAUCCCUAGCUGGUCUGAGAGGAUGAUCAGCCACACUGGAACUGAGACACGGUGCAGACUCCUACGGGAGGCAGCAGUGGGGAAUAUUGCACAAUGGGGGAAACCCUGAUGCAGCCAUGCCGCGUGUAUGAAGAAGGCCUUCGGGUUGUAAAGUACUUUCAGUUGUGAGGAAGGCAGUAAAAGUUAAUAGCUUUGCUGUUUGACGUUAGCAACAGAAGAAGCACCGGCUAACUCCGUGCCAGCAGCCGCGGUAAUACGGAGGGUGCGAGCGUUUAAUCGGAAUUACUGGGCGUAAAGCGCAUGCAGGUGGUCUGUUAAGCAAGAUGUGAAAGCCCGGGGCUCAACCUCGGGAACAGCAUUUUGAACUGGCAGACUAGAGUGCUGUACAGGGGG